rnacentral:rRNA from 1 species
GUCGUACAAGGUCUCCGUUGGUGAACCAGCGGAGGGAUCAU